UACGUAGGGGGCUAGCGUUGUCCGGAAUCAUUGGGCGUAAAGAGCGUGUAGGCGGCCCGGUAAGUCCGCUGUGAAAGUCGGGGGCUCAACCCUCGAAUGCCGGUGGAUACUGUCGGGCUAGAGUGCGGAAGAGGCGAGUGGAAUUCCUGGUGUAGCGGUGAAAUGCGCAGAUAUCAGGAGGAACACCAAUUGCGAAGGCAGCUCGCUGGGACGUAACUGACGCUGAGACGCGAAAGCGUGGGGAGCUAACAGG
rnacentral:rRNA from 1 species